rnacentral:rRNA from 1 species
UACGUAGGGUGCAAGCGUUGUUCGGAGUUACUGGGCGUAAAGGGUGUGUAGGCGGUUCCCUAAGUUUGGUGUGAAAUCUCCCGGCUCAACUGGGAGGGUGCGCCGAAAACUGGGGAGCUAGAGUACUGGAUGGGAGAGUGGAAUUCCUGGUGUAGCGGUGAAAUGCGUAGAUAUCAGGAGGAACACCUGUGGUGUAGACGGCUCUCUGGACAGUAACUGACGCUGAGACACGAAAGCGUGGGUAGCAAACAGG